ACCAUGCAAGUCGAGCGGUAAGGCCUUUCGGGGUACACGAGCGGCGAACGGGUGAGUAACACGUGGGUGAUCUGCCCUGCACUUCGGGAUAAGCCUGGGAAACUGGGUCUAAUACCGGAUAUGACCUCCUAUCGCAUGGUGGGUGGUGGAAAGAUUUAUCGGUGCAGGAUGGGCCCGCGGCCUAUCAGCUUGUUGGUGGGGUAAUGGCCUACCAAGGCGACGACGGGUAGCCGACCUGAGAGGGUGACCGGCCACACUGGGACUGAGACACGGCCCAGACUCCUACGGGAGGCAGCAGUGGGGAAUAUUGCACAAUGGGCGAAAGCCUGAUGCAGCGACGCCGCGUGAGGGAUGACGGCCUUCGGGUUGUAAACCUCUUUCAGCAGGGACGAAGCGCAAGUGACGGUACCUGCAGAAGAAGCACCGGCUAACUACGUGCCAGCAGCCGCGGUAAUACGUAGGGUGCAAGCGUUGUCCGGAAUUACUGGGCGUAAAGAGUUCGUAGGCGGUUUGUCGCGUCGUUUGUGAAAACCAGCAGCUCAACUGCUGGCUUGCAGGCGAUACGGGCAGACUUGAGUACUGCAGGGGAGACUGGAAUUCCUGGUGUAGCGGUGAAAUGCGCAGAUAUCAGGAGGAACACCGGUGGCGAAGGCGGGUCUCUGGGCAGUAACUGACGCUGAGGAACGAAAGCGUGGGUAGCGAACAGGAUUAGAUACCCUGGUAGUCCACGCCGUAAACGGUGGGCGCUAGGUGUGGGUUCCUUCCACGGAAUCCGUGCCGUAGCUAACGCAUUAAGCGCC
rnacentral:rRNA from 1 species